AUGAAGAGGAAAAGAGAGGACGCCGCGGCGGAUGGAGAGAUCACGGCUGCCGUGUCGCGCGCGGGCACGUCGUCGUCGUCGUUCGGCGGCGCCGCCAUCUGCGACGACGUCGUCCGCAACAUCUUCGCCCGCCUGCCGGCCCGCGACGCCGUCGCGUCCAUGGCGCUGUCGUGGCACCACCGCCGCCUGAUCACCAGCCCGGACUUCGUCCGCCUCCACUGCCGCCACGGCGCGCCCCUGCCGCGCCCGCACAUCGCCUACGUCGCCACGGCGCCCGUCGUCACCCACCGCGACAUGCUAGCCCGCAUCAACUCCCUCCAAGAACGCAACGAGAACGUUACGACGACCCAGAGCCGGACCGCUUCUCGUCGACGUCGAGGUACCAUGGCUUCCACGUCGCCGGCGCCGCCGAUCGUCGGCACCAACCCGAUGCGCGCGCUCGCCGGGAAGAAGUACAGCGACCAGAAGUACGUUGGCACGUGCAACGGCGUCAUUCUCCUCGCCGGCAGAGGGGAGGAUGACGAGCAUUUUUCCGGCCUCCUGAACCCCGCCGUCGCCGAUGGCGAGAGAGAGGUCUCCGUCGUCGUCCCUCCCUCGCCGGACGACUACCACGCAUCGGGAUUCGGCUACGGCCCGAUGACCAGAACAUACAAGCUACUGCUUUGCAAGCACAAGUGCGAGACGGUCCUCGCCUUCGACGUCGACGACGAGACCAUCACCUCCAUCGCCUUGCCCGGCGAGCGCUCCCGUAUGUGCCCGUGUGUGAGGCCGGUCAAGGCUAAGGGGCGCCAAUGUUGUGACCAAAAAUUCAUCGCCGUGUGGCUGCUCACGACCGAACGCCGGUGGAAGCGGCGGUGCGCGUUCCGCAACGACUGGUGCUGGCCGGCGACUGUCGCCGGCGUCUGGGACUGCGGCGGCGCGCUGCUCAUUGUCAUCCAGGCCGACGACGAGAGCUCCAUCUUCAUGUACGACGACGCGACGGGCGAGGUGUCCCGGCUGAACCCGCCGCCCGACGCGUCGCCGGAGAAGAGUGACUACCGGAUCUGCUGGGGUUACAAGCCGACGGUCGUGACGCCGGCGAGCAUCGUCGGCGAGUUCGACCAGGAAAAGCAGCGGUGCCGCGACAUCGCGGCGGAUGUGCUCGCCGCCGUGACGCCCCUGAACGAGAUGCACAAGCGGAAAGGGCAGGAAGCGGCGCUGCACACCGUCUGCUUCAUGGAGUUCUUGGUCGGUGUCAUGCGGAAGCUCCCCGGCAAUUUGCGACGUGUUAUCGCGGCGAUGAAGAGGAAGAGAGAAGCCGCCGCCGCCGCCGUCGCCGUCGCGGAUGGAGAGACCACGACCGCCGCGGCGCGCGCGGACUCGUCGUCGUCGUCGGAGGGCGGCAGCGUCUGCGACGACGUCGUCCGCAACAUCUUCGCCCGCCUGCCGGCCCGCGACGCCGUCGCGUCCAUGGCGCUGUCGAGGCGCCAUCGCCGCCUGAUCACCGGCGAGGAGUUCCGCCGCCUCCACUGCCGCCACGGCGCGCCCCUGCCGCGCCCGCACGUCGCCUACGUCGCCACCGCGGACGUCGUCGCCCACCGCGACACCGCCGGCCGCGUCGACUCCCUCGAGAGAUGGGCGCACCAGCGAGCCGCCCGCGGCUUCUCGACCGGGGCCUUCGCCUCGCAGUCGAGCUACGACGCGGCGCCGCACCGCUCGUUGAGUUACCAUGGCUUCCACGUCGCCGGCGCCGCCGCCGCUGCCGGCCGUCGAGGCGGUACCAACCCGAUGCGAGCGCUCGCCGGCCAGAAGUACGACAACCACAAGUACGUCGGCACGUGCAACGGCGUCGUACUCCUCGCCGACAAGGAGCCCUCCGUCGGCUUCCUCCUGAACCCGGCUAUCGCCGACGGCGAGAGGAAAGUCUCCGUCGUCCCUUCCUCGCCGGACAAUGACACGAAGUAUCACAUCUCGGGCUUCGGCUACGGCCCAAGGACAAGAACCUACAAGCUACUGCUUUGCAAGCACAAGAGCGUCGCCAACUUCAAAAGACUCAGCAAUGGCGGCAUAGCACGCGUUCCCGGUGCACCUUACUACCUAUGGCGAGCUGACGAGUUGGUUGUUUACUCGCUCGGCGGCGGCGCGGCGGAGCAGCCGCGAACGGUGCUCGCCGGGCUGGACGGCGACAUGAUCCACUGCCGCUCGCUUUACAUGGACGGCACGGUGUACCUCCUCAACGCCGACAAGGAGACGGUCCUCGCCUUCGACGUCGACGACGAGACCAUCGCCUCCAUCGCCUUGCCCGGCGAGCGCGUCGCCGGUGGCAAGCCGCGGUCGCACCUCAAAUCGUAUCUCAUGGAGAUGUCCGGGCGCGUGUGCGUGGCGACUGUCGACGACGGCGACAGGGAAACCAACGCCGUGUGGCUGCUCAUCACGACCGAACGCCGGUGGGAGCGGCGGUGCGCGUUCCGCAACGACUGGUACUGGCCGGCGACGGUCGCCGGCGUCUGGGACUGCGGCGGCGCGCUGCUCAUCGCCCUGCAGGCCCACGACGAGAGCUCCAUCUUCCUCUACGACGACGCGACGGGGGAGGUGUUCCACCUGAACUCGCCGCCUCACGCGUCGCCGGAGAAGAGCGACUACCGAAUCUGCUGGGGCUACAAGCCGACGCUCGUGUCGCCGGCGAGCAUCGCGGGCGAGGCGAGCCAGGACGAGCGGCGGCGCCGCGACGUGGCGGCGGAUGUGCUCGCCGCCGUGAAGCCCGUGAGCGAGGCGCACGAGCGGAAAGGUCAGAAAGCGACCCUGCACACCGUCUGCUUCAUGGAGUUCUUGGUCGGCGUCAUGCGGAAGCUCCCCAGCGAGUUGCACCACGGUAUCGCGGAUUUAGAUCAGUUUUACUGAUCCCUUUUAC
rnacentral:lncRNA from 1 species